rnacentral:rRNA from 1 species
GACGAACGCUGGCGGCUUGCUUAACACAUGCAAGUCGAACGGAAAGGCCCUGCUUUUGUGGGGUGCUCGAGUGGCGAACGGGUGAGUAACACGUGAGUAACCUGCCCUUGACUUUGGGAUAACUUCAGGAAAGUGGGGCUAAUACCGGAUAGGAGCUCCUGCUGCAUGGUGGGGGUUGGAAAGUUUCGGCGGUUGGGGAUGGACUCGCGGCUUAUCAACUUGUUGGUGGGGUAGUGGCUUACCAAGGCUUUGACGGGUAGCCGGCCUGAGACGGUGACCGGCCACAUUGGGACUGAGAUACGGCCCAUACUCCUACGGAAGGCAGCAGUGGGGAAUAUUGCACAAUGGGCGGAAGCCUGAUGCAGCAACGCCGCGGGCGGGAUGACGGCCUCUGGGUUGUAAACCGCUUUCCCCUGUGACAAAUCUUGAGUGACGGUAAUGGGUAAAUAACCACCCGCUAACUACGUGCCCACCGCCCCCGUGAUAACUAAGGUGCGAGCCUCUCCCCGAAUUUUUUGGGCGUAAAGGGCCUCAUAGGUGGUUGAUCGCGUCGGAAGUGUAAUCUUGGGGCUUAACCCUGAGCGUGCUUUCGAUACGGGUUGACUUGAGGAAGGUAGGGGAGAAUGGAAUUCCUGGUGGAGCGGUGGAAUGCGCAGAUAUCAGGAGGAACACCAGUGGCGAAGGCGGUUCUCUGGGCCUUUCCUGACGCUGAGGAGCGAAAGCGUGGGGAGCGAACAGGCUUAGAUACCCUGGUAGUCCACGCUGUAAACGGUGGGUACUAGGUGUGGGGUCCAUUCCACGGGUUCCGUGCCGUAGCUAACGCUUUAAGUACCCCGCCUGGGGAGUACGGCCGCAAGGCUAAAACUCAAAGGAAUUGACGGGGCCCCGCACAAGCGGCGGAGCAUGCGGAUUAAUUCGAUGCAACGCGUAGAACCUUACCUGGGUUUGACAUGGAUCGGGAGUGCUCAGAGAUGGGUGUGCCUCUUUUGGGGUCGGUUCACAGGUGGUGCAUGGCUGUCGUCAGCUCGUGUCGUGAGAUGUUGGGUUAAGUCCCGCAACGAGCGCAACCCUUGUUCACUGUUGCCAGCACGUUAUGGUGGGGACUCAGUGGAGACCGCCGGGGUCAACUCGGAGGAAGGUGGGGAUGACGUCAAGUCAUCAUGCCCCUUAUGUCCAGGGCUUCACGCAUGCUACAAUGGCUGGUACAGAGAGUGGCGAGCCUGUAAGGGUGAGCGAAUCUCGGAAAGCCGGUCUCAGUUCGGAUUGGGGUCUGCAACUCGACCUCAUGAAGUCGGAGUCGCUAGUAAUCGCAGAUCAGCAACGCUGCGGUGAAUACGUUCCCGGG